GGCCUACCAUGGUNGUAACGGGUAACGGGGUGUUAGGGCACGACACCGGAGAGGGAGCCUGAGAAACGGCUACCACAUCCAAGGAUGGCAGCGGGCGCGCAAAUUACCCAAUCCCGACACGGGGAGGUAGUGACAAUAAAUAACAAUACGGGGUUCUUUCGGAUCUCGUAAUUGGAAUGAGUACAAUUUAAAUCUCUUAACGAGGAACAAUUGGAGGGCAAGUCUGGUGCCAGCAGCCGCGGUAAUUCCAGCUCCAAUAGCGUACAUUAAAGUUGUUGCAGUUAAAAAGCUCGUAGUUGAAUUUCGGGGUUAGUAGGCUGGUCAUGCCUCUGGUAUGUACUGGUCUCCCUGAUUCCUCCUUCCUGAUGAACCGUAAUGCCAUUAAUUUGGUGUUGCGGGGAAUUUGGACUGUUACUUUGAAAAAAUUAGAGUGUAUAAAGCAAGCUAACGCUUGAAUACAUUAGCAUGGAAUAAUGAAAUAGGACGUUCGAUCCUAUUUUGUUGGUUUCUAGGAUUGACGUAAUGAUUAAUAGGGAUAGUUGGGGGCAUUAGUAUUCAAUUGUCAGAGGUGAAAUUCUUGGAUUUAUUGAAGACUAACUACUGCGAAAGCAUUUGCCAAGGAUGUUUUCAUUAAUCAAGAACGAAAGUUAGGGGAUCGAAGACGAUCAGAUACCGUCGUAGUCUUAACCAUAAACUAUGCCGACUAGGGAUCGGAUGAUGUUAAUUUUUUAAUGACUCAUUCGGCGCCUUACGGGAAACCAAAGUGUUUGGGUUC
rnacentral:rRNA from 1 species